CAGCAGCCACGGUAAUACGUAGGGUGCAAGCGUUAAUCGGAAUUACUGGGCGUAAAGCGUGCGCAGGCGGUUGUGUAAGACAGGUGUGAAAUCCCCGGGCUUAACCUGGGAAUUGCAUUUGUGACUGCACGACUAGAGUGUGUCAGAGGGGGGUGGAAUUCCACGUGUAGCAGUGAAAUGCGUAGAUAUGUGGAGGAACACCAAUGGCGAAGGCAGCCCCCUGGGAUAACACUGACGCUCAUGCACGAAAGCGUGGGGAGCAAACAGGAUUAGAUACCCCUGUAGUCCCUGUCUCUUAUAC
rnacentral:rRNA from 1 species